GCUUGUCUCAAAGAUUAAGCCAUGCAUGUCUAAGUAUAAGCAAAUUUGUACUGUGAAACUGCGAAUGGCUCAUUAAAUCAGUUAUAGUUUAUUUGAUGGUCCUUACUACAUGGAUAACUGUGGUAAUUCUAGAGCUAAUACAUGCUUAAAAGCCCCGACGCAAGAAGGGGUGUAUUUAUUAGAUAAAAACCAACACCUUCGGGUACUUUGGUGAAUCAUAAUAACUUCUCGAAUCGCAUGGCCUUGUGCCGGCGAUGCUUCAUUCAAAUAUCUGCCCUAUCAACUGUCGAUGGUAGGAUAGAGGCCUACCAUGGUUGCAACGGGUAACGGGGAAUAAGGGUUCGAUUCCGGAGAGGGAGCCUGAGAAACGGCUACCACAUCCAAGGAAGGCAGCAGG
rnacentral:rRNA from 1 species